AAAUAGCCGCCGGAUUAGAACGGGUAUCAUUGAUGUUGAUAAUUAUGGAGUUUUACUCCGCUAUUUU
rnacentral:tRNA from 1 species